rnacentral:rRNA from 1 species
UACGUAGGGGGCUAGCGUUGUCCGGAAUCAUUGGGCGUAAAGAGCGUGUAGGCGGCCCGGUAAGUCCGCUGUGAAAGUCAAGGGCUCAACCCUUGAAAGCCGGUUGAUACUGUCGGGCUAGAGUCCGGAAGAGGCGAGUGGAAUUCCCGGUGUAGCGGUGAAAUGCGCAGAUAUCGGGAGGAACACCAAUGGCGAAGGCAGCUCGCUGGGACGGUACUGACGCUGAGACGCGAAAGCGUGGGGAGCAAACAGG